CAGUUGCCUAGGGUAGCUCCCGAAAAGCAGAACCUGUGACUGCCUGGCAACUGAUUUGUAAUCACAGG
rnacentral:ncRNA from 12 species